UACGUAGGGUGCGAGCGUUGUCCGGAAUCAUUGGGCGUAAAGAGCGUGUAGGCGGCUCGGUAAGUCCGCUGUGAAAGUCCAGGGCUCAACCCUGGAAUGCCAGUGGAAACUGUUGAGCUAGAGUCCGGAAGAGGCGAGUGGAAUUCCUGGUGUAGCGGUGAAAUGCGCAGAUAUCAGGAGGAACACCAAUGGCGAAGGCAGCUCGCUGGGACGGUACUGACGCUGAGACGCGAAAGCGUGGGGAGCAAACAGG
rnacentral:rRNA from 1 species